UACGUAGGGUGCAAGCGUUAAUCGGAAUUACUGGGCGUAAAGCGUGCGCAGGCGGUUUUGUAAGUCUGUCGUGAAAGCCCCGGGCUCAACCUGGGAAUUGCGAUGGAGACUGCAAGGCUUGAAUCUGGCAGAGGGGGGUAGAAUUCCACGUGUAGCAGUGAAAUGCGUAGAGAUGUGGAGGAACACCGAUGGCGAAGGCAGCCCCCUGGGUCGACACUGACGCUCAUGCACGAAAGCGUGGGGAGCAAACAGG
rnacentral:rRNA from 1 species